rnacentral:tRNA from 2 species
AGAAAAGUAAGCUAAUUAAAGCUAAUGGGUUCAUACCCCAUAUAUAGAGUAUAACACUCUCUUCUCUA